rnacentral:rRNA from 1 species
CUAUCACUACAGAYGGGCCCGCGGUGCAUUASCUAGUUGGUGAGGUAMCGGCUCMCCAAGGCAACGAYGCAUARCCGACCUGAGAGGGUGAUCGGCCCACACUGGGASUGAGACACGGCCCAGACUCCUACGGGAGGCAGCAGUAGGGAAUCUUCCGCAAUGGACGAAAGUCUGACGGAGCAACGCCGCGUGAGUGAUGAAGGCUUUCGGGUCGUAAAACUCUGUUGUUAGGGAAGAACAAGUACRAGAGUAACUGCUYGUACCUUGACGGUACCUAACCAGAAAGCCACGGCUAACUACGUGCCAGCAGCCGCGGUAAUACGUAGGUGGCAAGCGUUAUCCGGAAUUAUUGGGCGUAAAGCGCGCGCAGGCGGUUUCUUAAGUCUGAUGUGAAAGCCCACGGCUCAACCGUGGAGGGUCAUUGGAAACUGGGGAACUUGAGUGCAGAAGAGAAAAGCGGAAUUCCACGUGUAGCGGUGAAAUGCGUAGAGAUGUGGAGGAACACCAGUGGCGAAGGCGGCUUUUUGGUCUGUAACUGACGCUGAGGCGCGAAAGCGUGGGGAGCAAACAGGAUUAGAUACCCUGGUAGUCCACGCCGUAAACGAUGAGUGCUAAGUGUUAGAGGGUUUCCGCCCUUUAGUGCUGCAGCUAACCGCCMYUAAGCACYCCCAC